rnacentral:rRNA from 1 species
GAUGAACGCUAGCGGCAGGCUUAAUACAUGCAAGUCGAGGGGUAACAGGGGUAGCGAUACCUGCUGACGACCGGCAAACGGGUGCGGAACACGUACGCAACCUUCCCAAAACUGGUGAAUAGCCCUCCGAAAGGAGGAUUAAUACACCGUAACAUAAUGAAGUGGCAUCACUCUAUUAUUAUAACUCCGGUGGUUUUGGAUGGGCGUGCCGCUGAUUAGGUAGUUGGCGGGGUAACGGCCACCAAGCCUGCGACCAGUAACUGGUGUGAGAGAACGACCAGUCACACGGGCGCUGAGAAACGGGCCCGACUCCUACGGGAGGCAGCAGUAAGGAAUAUUGGUCAAUGGACGAAAGUCUGAACCAGCCAUGCCGCGUGAAGGAUGAAGGUCCUCUGGAUUGUAAACUUCUUUUAUAGGGGACGAAAAAAGGGAAUUCUUUCUCACUUGACGGUACCCUAGGAAUAAGCACCGGCUAACUCCGUGCCAGCCGCCGCAGUAA